AUUGAACGCUGGCGGCAUGCCUUACACAUGCAAGUCGAACGGCAGCACGGGUGCUUGCACCUGGUGGCGAGUGGCGAACGGGUGAGUAAUACAUCGGAACGUACCUUAUCGUGGGGGAUAACGCAGCGAAAGUUGCGCUAAUACCGCAUAAGCCCUGAGGGGGAAAGCGGGGGACCGUAAGGCCUCGCGCGUUUAGAGCGGCCGAUGUCUGAUUAGCUUGUUGGUGAGGUAAAAGCUCACCAAGGCGAUGAUCAGUAGCUGGUCUGAGAGGACGAUCAGCCACACUGGGACUGAGACACGGCCCAGACUCCUACGGGAGGCAGCAGUGGGGAAUUUUGGACAAGGGGGGAAACCCUGAUCCAGCCAUGCCGCGUGAGUGAUGAAGGCCUUAGGGUUGUAAAGCUCUUUUACCCGGGAAGAAACACCGGCUCUAACACAGUCCGGGAAUGACGGUACCUGAAGAAUAAGCACCGGCUAACUACGUGCCAGCCACCGCCGUAA
rnacentral:rRNA from 1 species